rnacentral:lncRNA from 1 species
UCAGGUUCCAGGCCAGUCGUGUUCCGCUCAGGUUCCAGUCCAGUCGUGUUCCGCUCCGGUUCCAGCCCAGUCGUGUCCCGCUCGGUGUUUCCAGUCCAGUCGUGCCCCACUCAGGUUCCAGCCCAGUCGUGUCCCGCUCUGGUUCCAGCCCAGUCGUGUCCCGCUUAGGUUCUAGCCCAGUUGUGUCCCGCUCAAGUUCUAGCCCAGCCGUGUCCCGGUCAGUUUCCAGUUCAGCUGUGUUCCGUUCAGGCCCCAGUUCAGCCAUGCUCCGCUCAGCCCCCAGUUCAGCCGUGCUCCGCUCAGGCCCCAGUUCAGCCGUGCUCCGCUCAGGCCCCAGUUCAGCCGUGCUCCGUUCAGGCUCCAGCCCGGUCAUGUCGCGUUCAGGCUCCAGCCCGGGCAUGUCGCGUUCAGGCUCCAGCCCGGUCAUGUAGCGCUCCAGUCAAAUCACGUCACGCUCCAGUCUUGCCCCAGCCAGGUUGCAUAACACGCCGGUCAAGCCUGACUCUAGCCCAGACGGGUUCAGCGCCCGUCCCGUCAAGCUCAAAGGUCGUAAGCAGCCCUGCCGGCUCCAGAGAGGAGACCGCAAGCAGCCCUGCCGGCAGCGGUUGUGUUGCCCACCACUGGUCCAGGAGAGACCAGUGUGGUCCAUAUCGGGCCCGACUGGGUCGUUCCAGCCAUAGUUCCUGUCGGCUCCACCGCGGACGCCGUUCUAGUUCCUGUCGGCUCCACCGCGGACGCCGUUCUAGUUCCCGUCGGCUCCACGGAGGACGCCGUUCUAGUUCCUGUUCCUGUCGGCUCCACGGAGGACGCCGUUCUAGUUCCUGUUCCUGUCGGCUCCACGGAGGACGCCGUUCUAGUUCCUGUUCCUGUCGGCUCCACGGAGGACGCCGUUCUAGUUCCUGUUCCUGUCGGCUCCACGGAGGACGCCGUUCUAGUUCCUGGUUCUGUCGGCCCUGGAGAGGUUGUUCGUGUUCUUGUUCCUGUCGGCCUCUGAGAGGCCGUCCCAGCUCCGGUUCCUGUCGACCUCCCGGAGGAGGUCGUCCCAGCUUCGGUUCCUGUCGACCUCCCGGAGGAGGUUGUCCCAGCUUCGGUUCCUGCUGACCUCCCGGAUGUAUACGGCUGUAUAAAAAAACAUGUCACGUUUACAGCUAAAGUAGCUGACUAGAUAAGCAACAACACACAUUAUAGACUUAGAUAGAACUUGCAAUAACCCAAAUUCACGGGUCUACUCGGGCUACAACAU